UGUGAGCUUUCAUGUUCAAAUAUGAUGCAAAUUGCACACAUGCACACCCACAUGUGUUCACGCAAACACACUCUUGUCUGUCCUUUGAGGUUACGGUGGGGGUGAGAUGGCGCUGUAAUGAGCUGUCACUCACCAACAGCCCCGCAGUGGAGGAAGAAGGAAAACAGAUGCAUUUAUAAACAACAACAUGAAAAUCUAUAAGCACUUUGUUUUAGUAAUGGUUAUGGAGAGAGGAGCCGUCAGAUAAUGUCAGCAUCGCUGUUCAACGUUCAGCUCCCAGGACUCGUGACUGCAGAGAGAACUAAAAAAAGGAACGUGAGUUUUGGAGCGAUGGAAGAGGGGAGACAGUCGGGAAAGGGGAGAAAGAGGCAGCAAGCGCAGGAGGGAUGUCCCAUCUCGGAGUAAAGUCUGCCAGGCUUUAACCAAGGUCCCUACAUCAGUCAGAUUUAUGAAGAAAGGUCAUGACCAAAUCAAAACCUUGACCUAUCUAUGAGGAUACCAAUUUAUUAGCCCCCUGCUAGUGGGAGAGGGGAUGACUUGGCUGAAGCUAAUAUCCUCUAGCCCGGCCCAGCUUCACUGUAGACAUCUGGAUGACGACUAGCGCAGAGGUUGGUUGUAAUUUGUGAUUAGUCGGACGUUUUAAGCUUGUACUAUUUCCCAUCUUUGGCUUGUGCAGCUCUCGGUUCAUAAAAGUCACAAUCCAUUUAAAGCGUGCGGUGUCACUGUAGCAGACUGAAUUCCCAACCCUGUGUUGACGGCCUUUUUCCGGCCACAUCACUUUCAAUUAUUUGCAUGCUACCAAGAAAAAAACCCCCAUCUUACCCCGUUGAACAGCCUUGAAAAAAACACUAAACGUUGUAUCACUGACACAUAAUGACAUCCAAAGUGAACACAUCAGCAAAUGCUUAAGAUGUGAAAACAGUAACUCAGCACAGAGCAAGAGGAACGUGCCCGUAGCUAAUAGAAACAUGCGUCAUCAUCAAUUUGCGCCCUCUUCAGAAAACUAUGACUCAUGGGGGAUGCUUAUAAAAAGCAUGCCCCCGUGUUAGCCCCAGUGUCCCUUCCUAAACCGAGUCUGUCCAUAAAUUAUAGACAGGAUGAAAUGCAGCUCUCUGUUUGACAGCCCUUAAUUUCCCCCUCCCAGAGAGACCCAGCACAAAGACAUAUUUGCUGUUUUUCUGUCUUGUCUCUCUCAGAACGAGACCAAAAGGAUGAAAAGAACUACACCAAAAUGAAUUCCCCCCGAAGACAUAAAAAAAUAUAUCAGUGAAUAAUAAAGAAGUGCAGCAGGAGAAAAAGUGCAAAGUCACAGAGAGAGAGAGACAAGAAGACUAAAAGUCUUUUCAUUUUCCCUUCACCACCAGUUGCCUCCUGGUUGUCAUGACAACAUCUUAUCCCGGGGCUGGUCGACUCCCUCUGGGGGCAGCUGGGAAAUCAGGACACCAGGAGAGGAAAGACACGCGGCUGUCUCGUAUAAGUGCUGCUGUAAUCCCAUUAAUCUGUGGCAGAGUGAUUAACACGUACAGUAGCAUUAGGAUGCGACAACAGACGAAUGUCGUUUUACUGACAGAAUCAUGGGAAGAUUGAUAUGACUGUGGAAUUUUCAAUAUACGCUUCAAAUGCUGGGGAGUGCAGAGCUGGGGGAAAAGAGUGAAAUGGAAGGAAAACACUCCAGGGAACGAGCAAAAAAGCAGAAGGCUGACAUGAAGUGAUACAUGGCUGGUAAUAAGUGAGAAAUAAAAGAAGAAGAAAAAAGUGGAAGAAAUAAAAACAGCAUUCUUUUACCC